rnacentral:rRNA from 1 species
UUGCCAGCCCGCUCAGAAACUUAAAGGAAUUGACGGGGGCCCGCACAAGCAGCGGAGCAUGUGGUUUAAUUCGAAGCAACGCGAAGAACCUUACCAAGACUUGACAUCCCCUGACAGCUGUUGAAAGGCAGUGUCUCUUCGGAGCAGGGAGACAGGUGGUGCAUGGUUGUCGUCAGCUCGUGUCGUGAGAUGUUGGGUUAAGUCCCGCAACGAGCGCAACCCUUAUCCUUAGUUACCAGCACGUAAAGGUGGGGACUCUAGGGAGACCGCCGGGGACGACUCGGAGGAAGGUGGGGACGACGUCAAAUCAUCAUGCCCCUUAUGUCUUGGGCUACACACGUGCUACAAUGGCCGCAACAGAGGGAAGCGAGAGCGCAAGCUGGAGCAAAACCCUAAAAAGCGGUCCCAGUUCGGAUUGUGGGCUGCAACCCGCCCACAUGAAGUCGGAGUUGCUAGUAAUCGCGAAUCAGCAUGUCGCGGUGAAUGCGUUCCCGGGCCUU